rnacentral:rRNA from 1 species
UGCUGGAGGUAUCAGAAGUGCGAAUGCUGACAUAAGUAACGAUAAAGCGGGUGAAAAGCCCGCUCGCCGGAAGACCAAGGGUUCCUGUCCAACGUUAAUCGGGGCAGGGUGAGUCGACCCCUAAGGCGAGGCCGAAAGGCGUAGUCGAUGGGAAACGGGUUAAUAUUCCCGUACUUGGUGUUACUGCGAAGGGGGGACGGAGAAGGCUAUGUUGGCCGGGCGACGGUUGUCCCGGUUUAAGCGUGUAGGUGUGUGUUCCAGGUAAAUCCGGUUCACUUUAACACUGAGGCGUGACGACGAGGCACUACGGUGCUGAAGCAACAAAUGCCCUGCUUCCAGGAAAAGCCUCUAAGCAUCAGGUAACAUCAAAUCGUACCCCAAACCGACACAGGUGGUCAGGUAGAGAAUACCAAGGCGCUUGAGAGAACUCGGGUGAAGGAACUAGGCAAAAUGGUGCCGUAACUUCGGGAGAAGGCACGCUGACACGUAGGUGAAGUGAUUUACUCACGGAGCUGAAGUCAGUCGAAGAUACCAGCUGGCUGCAACUGUUUAUUAAAAACACAGCACUGUGCAAACACGAAAGUGGACGUAUACGGUGUGACGCCUGCCCGGUGCCGGAAGGUUAAUUGAUGGGGUCAGCGCAAGCGAAGCUCCUGAUCGAAGCCCCGGUAAACGGCGGCCGUAACUAUAACGGUCCUAAGGUAGCGAAAUUCCUUGUCGGGUAAGUUCCGACCUGCACGAAUGGCGUAAUGAUGGCCAGGCUGUCUCCACCCGAGACUCAGUGAAAUUGAACUCGCUGUGAAGAUGCAGUGUACCCGCGGCAAGACGGAAAGACCCCGUGAACCUUUACUAUAGCUUGACACUGAACAUUGAGCCUUGAUGUGUAGGAUAGGUGGGAGGCUUUGAAGUGUGGACGCCAGUCUGCAUGGAGCCGACCUUGAAAUACCACCCUUUAAUGUUUGAUGUUCUAACGUGGACCCGUAAUCCGGGUUGCGGACAGUGUCUGGUGGGUAGUUUGACUGGGGCGGUCUCCUCCUAAAGAGUAACGGAGGAGCACGAAGGUUGGCUAAUCCUGGUCGGACAUCAGGAGGUUAGUGCAAUGGCAUAAGCCAGCUUGACUGCGAGCGUGACGGCGCGAGCAGGUGCGAAAGCAGGUCAUAGUGAUCCGGUGGUUCUGAAUGGAAGGGCCAUCGCUCAACGGAUAAAAGGUACUCCGGGGAUAACAGGCUGAUACCGCCCAAGAGUUCAUAUCGACGGCGGUGUUUGGCACCUCGAUGUCGGCUCAUCACAUCCUGGGGCUGAAGUAGGUCCCAAGGGUAUGGCUGUUCGCCAUUUAAAGUGGUACGCGAGCUGGGUUUAGAACGUCGUGAGACAGUUCGGUCCCUAUCUGCCGUGGGCGCUGGAGAACUGAGGGGGGCUGCUCCUAGUACGAGAGGACCGGAGUGGACGCAUCACUGGUGUUCGGGUUGUCAUGCCAAUGGCACUGCCCGGUAGCUAAAUGCGGAAGAGAUAAGUGCUGAAAGCAUCUAAGCACGAAACUUGCCCCGAGAUGAGUUCU